rnacentral:rRNA from 1 species
UACAGAGGUCUCAAGCGUUGUUCGGAAUUACUGGGCGUAAAGGGUGCGUAGGUGGCGUGUUAAGUCAGAUGUGAAAGCCCGGAGCUCAACUUCGGAAUUGCAUCCGAUACUACCAUGCUUGAGUACUGGAGAGGUGACUAGAAUUCUAGGUGUAGCAGUGAAAUGCGUAGAUAUCUAGAGGAAUACCAAAGGCGUAGGCAGGUCACUGGACAGUUACUGACACUGAGGCACGAAGGCCAGGGGAGCGAACGGG